rnacentral:rRNA from 1 species
GAAACCGUUCAGGGGUAAACCUGAGGAACCCAAAAGAUCGAAUGGGGAGAUUCAUCGUCAGCGGCGCUGGCUUCACGGUGGCUCGUGAUAUCGCGGGGCUUCACGGUUCCGUGGUACGCGGUCAUCGCGUUACGUCCGGCGGCGUCGGCGUGCACUUCUCCCCUAGUAGAACGUCGCGACCCGUUGGGUGCCGAUCUAAGGCCCGGGUGGGCGCCUGUCGCGUCGCUUCGGCGCACGCGGCAAACCCCCGGUCGCCAGUAUCGGCUGCCCGGCGGUACUCGCAUGGUAUCGGGCCGCAAUUCGAACUGCGUCGGGCCCGCCGCAAGCGCGGCCAGCGUCGCGGAGACACGGACCUAGCGCCGUGCCCGUGCCUUGCCAGCUGUUGGCAGGCGGUGUCCUCUGACAGGCCAAAAACUCACCUUCGAAAGUGUGAUACCGGUCGGCGACGCUACUGCUUUGGGUAAUCUCAGGACCCGUCUUGAAACACGGACCAAGGAGUCUAACAUGUGCGCGAGUCAUUGGGACAGCAUGCCUAAAGGCGAAAUGAAAGUGAAGGUAGGCCUAGCGCCGACCGAGGGAGGAUGGGCCGCGUCACGAUGCGGCUUCGCACUCCCGGGGCGUCUCGUUCUCAUCGCGAGAAGAGGCGCACCCAGAGCGUACACGUUGGGACCCGAAAGAUGGUGAACUAUGCCUGGUCAGGACGAAGUCAGGGGAAACCCUGAUGGAGGUCCGUAGCGAUUCUGACGUGCAAAUCGAUCGUCGGAACUGGGUAUAGGGGCGAAAGACUAAUCGACC